rnacentral:rRNA from 1 species
AGUGAACGCUGGCGGUAGGCCUAACACAUGCAAGUCGAGCGGCAGCACAGUAAGAGCUUGCUCUUACGGGUGGCGAGUGGCGGACGGGUGAGGAAUACAUCGGAAUCUACUUUUUCGUGGGGGAUAACGUAGGGAAACUUACGCUAAUACCGCAUACGACCUACGGGUGAAAGCAGGGGAUCUUCGGACCUUGCGCGAUUGAAUGAGCCGAUGUCGGAUUAGCUAGUUGGCGGGGUAAAGGCCCACCAAGGCGACGAUCCGUAGCUGGUCUGAGAGGAUGAUCAGCCACACUGGAACUGAGACACGGUCCAGACUCCUACGGGAGGCAGCAGUGGGGAAUAUUGGACAAUGGGCGCAAGCCUGAUCCAGCCAUACCGCGUGGGUGAAGAAGGCCUUCGGGUUGUAAAGCCCUUUUGUUGGGAAAGGAAAGCAGCAGGUUAAUACCCCGCUGUUCUGACGGUACCCAAAGAAUAAGCACCGGCUAACUUCGUG